AGCUCCAAUAGCGUAUAUUAAUGUUGUUGCAGUUAAAAAGCUCGUAGUUGGAUUUCUGAUCGGUUCGUCUAUCCAGGUCCGCAAGGAUCUGUGUGUGACGCAACCUGUCAUCCUCAGGGGGACUGUUCACUGGCAUUCAGUUGUCGGUGUCGGGACGCCUGUCGUUUACUGUGAACAAAUUAGAGUGUUCAAAGCAAGGUGUUCUUGAAUACAUUAGCAUGGAAUAAUAAGAUAGGACUCUGACGGUUCUUUUUGAU
rnacentral:rRNA from 1 species